GAAAAUUAGGCAAUUGGGGUCGGGAUAAAAGCUUCAACUUGUGCAAAGCCCGACAGCGGUGGUGGCUUGUGUUUACAUACAGUUGACGACAAUGAAUAAAGAUGCUUGUGUAAGACAAAUCCAGUGGCUUCUGGUUGGUGGUGACGAUUGGGAAUUAAAGGGGAUGUAGCAACGAACAAACCCAAGUGGUGGUAAGCAC
rnacentral:lncRNA from 1 species